AACGAACGCUGGCGGCAGGCCUCAAACAUGCAAGUCGAGCGUGAAAGUUCUUCGGAAUGAGUAAAGCAGCGGACGGGUGAGUAACGCGUAGGAAUCUGCCCUGAAGUGGGGGAUAACUUGGGGAAACUCAAGCUAAUACCGCAUAGACCUGAGGGUGAAAGAUGGGGAUCUUCGGACCUAUCGCUUCAGGCGGAGCCUGAGUCGGGUUAGCUGGUUGGUAGGGUAAAGGCCUACCAAGGCGAGGAUCCGUAGCUGGUCUGAGAGGAUGACCAGCCACACUGGGACUGAGACACGGUCCAGACUCCUACGGGAGGCAGCAGUGGGGAAUAUUGGACAAUGGGCGAAAGCCUGAUCCAGCCAUGCCGCGUGUGUGAAGAAGGUCUUCGGAUUGUAAAGCACUUUAAGUUGGGAGGAAGGGUUGUAGAUUAAUACUCUGCAAUUUUGACGUUACCGACAGAACAAGCACCGGCUAACUCUGUGCCAGCCGCCGCAGUAA
rnacentral:rRNA from 1 species